GUCCACGCUGUAAACGAUGAUCACUAGACGUCAGAUCUGUUUUUACAGAAUUGGUGUCGUAGCUAACGCGAUAAGUGAUCCGCCUGGGGACUACGGUCGCAAGAUUAAAACUCAAAGGAAUUGACGGGGGUCCGCACAAGCGGUGGAACAUGUGGUUUAAUUCGACAAUACGCGAGAAACCUUACCUAGGCUUGACAUGCUUUUGACAUCCGUGGAAACACGGCUUUCCGGGCUUCGGUUCGGACAAUUGCACAGGUGCUGCAUGGUUGUCGU
rnacentral:rRNA from 1 species